rnacentral:lncRNA from 1 species
GACUUAUGGCGGCUUUGAAAUUAUGCAGGCGACAAAUCGCAUAGGUAAAGAUGAAACUAAGCGACUUUUUCUUUUUCAGUGAAAAUUUUGUGAUCCGACUUGAAGUUAAUAAGGCAUUUAGUUCUAUAAUUAUAGGCAAGAUGCUGCUACUGUUGUACAUGCUCCUCCUCGGGGGAGCGUCCAGCUCAACUGUACCAUCAACGACGAUAAUUGUACCAUCAAUGACGUACCCUCCUGCGUUCCGCUCGUGCUCCAUGACUCCUGU